GAAAAGGAAUCCACAGUUCUGAAGUGCAAGGUCAUGAGCAGGCUGGCACCUGGCAUGCUGUGUCACAACAUGGUAGAAGGCAGAUGGAUGAAAGGGAGCCAGGAUGAGCAAGUGGAUGACAGGGACACUACCCAAAUUUGGGCCCAUGGUCACUUGGAAUGAGGAUAGAGAGCUGCAGUUCUGUACUCAACUCACACCCCCUAUGAGAGACCCAUUUGUUAGGCAAGCGUGCCCCUCCUCUUCCUCUUGGUGUUGGUCCAAGGACAUCCUGGUGCAGUCACAGGAUUGUAAUGGAAAAAAAUAAAAAGGAAAAAGUUGCCACCCGAAAUUAAACAUUCUCUUCAUACGGAACAAUGCAGAGUGAGUCUGUGGGAGCAGCAGAGCUGGAGACAAACCUGGUUAAGUGAUGCAGCUGGCCAAGGAGCAGGCUAGCCUUCUGUCCAGUGGGUCUCAGUGUCCUUACCUGCACAAUGGGACAAUGACAGCAUCUGUCCCACAGGUUACUACAUCUUGCUCAUCUGUGUGAGCAACAUGCCUUGAACAAAGUAUUAUCCAGUGAAUCCAUGCAGAAUGAACCAAUGAAUGACUUAAAAAUGAGAUAACCCAGAUGACGCAUACCACAUGGUAAACAUAGGUUUACCAUGGCAAUUCGACAGUGUACAUCACAAAGCUUGAUAAACAUGCAUGGCUUCUGACCCAGCAAUUCCAUUUCUGAAAUUGGAAACUUAAUCCUAGUAAUUUAAUAAUUGAGAAUAAAUUGGUAAUAUGAUAAUCUUAGUUACCCAGAUAACUAGUAAUUAAGGACACACCAACAAUUUCACUACAAGAAUGUUCUUGUAGCUAGGUGUGGUGGCUCAUGACUGUAAUCCCAGUACUGGGGAGGCUGAAGCAGGAGGAUCACUGUGAGUUCAAGGCAAGCCUGGACUAUACAUUGAGACACUGUCUCCAAAAAACUGACAAAAAAAAAUUGCUCUUGGGGAUAACAACUUAAAUACUCAUCUUUUGGAUGACGACUUUUCGUAGGUGACACGCAGAAUUUACAAGGCUGCAUGCUAAGGUGGUGGUCAUCAGAGCACUGCUCACACACCAGAAACAUCAGUGCCACCUGAGAAGAAGUUAAACAUGUAAAUUCCAGGCAGAUGGAAGCAGUAGGCACAUCUGUAAUCCUAGCUACUUGGGUUGUGGAGGCAGUAUCAUAAGUUUGAGCCCUGCCUGGGCAGCUGAGACUUUGUCUCAAAAUAAAAAAUAAGAAAGGCUGGGGAUGCAGCUCAGUGUGAAAGCCCUGGGAUCAAGCCUCAGUACCACAAAAAGAAAAAAAAAGGUUAAAAAAAAAAAGGUAAAGAUUUUUUUUUUUUUUUGGAGUCAGGGUUUUGCUAUGCAAUUCAGCCUGGCCUUAAACUCACUGUGUAGCCCAGGCUGGCCUCAAACUUGUAGCACUCCUCCUGCCUCAGCCUCCUGAGUGCUGGGAAAGUAAAGACUUUGCACAAGGUCAUUCAGAUCCCUGUCCAAGAUCCAAGAGCACUGUCCUAAGGUAUUGCUACAGUAUCCAUGUAAGUGGAGAUAUGAAUAUUGUAAUAUUCCUAUAUUUUCUGACUUUCCUGGAGUCACUGGCAAAUGAUAUAAAAAGUCCAAUACAUGUGUAUAUCACACUGCAUCCCAGAAAUCUGUACAAUUAGCAUUUUUAAAGUUUAAAAAUACUCAAUAAAAACAAAUUUUGAGGAGUUGGGGUGGUAGCACAUGGCUGCAAUCCCUGCACCUGGGAGACUGAAGCAGAAGGAUCACGGUGAGUUUGAGGCCACCCUGAACUACACAGUAGGCUCUGUCUCAAAAAAAACCAAAAAACAACAUAGGAGAGUAAAUAUGCCCUCCCUGUUAUUUUAUUUUCUUUGAUUAUUCAAGAGAGUUAAGGCUUCAGCCUUUUGAAAUGUCAGCUCUCUAAAGUUUGCUUUUCCAUGAUUUGGGAACCCUGGAAUUCUGGUUUACCUGCUCAGUUCCUCCAUCUGUAUAUUGGUCAGUUUUCUGUCACCUUAACAAAAGGCCUCAGAGACUCAGCUUUGGAGGAGUUAGGUACCUUGGCUGCUGGUCUGAGCCUCCGGCCAGGCUCAGCACAUUGUCCCCUGCCCAGGUAAGGGAGCCAGGGAAGGAAGCGGCUAGCCUCAUGGAUACAAGAAAGGGGAGGGGACCGGAAGGGGUGGUUCCACUAUACAAGGAACCACCCCAUGACAUCACUUCCUCCCAUGAGGCCCACCUUCUAAAUGUUCUACCACCUCUCAAUACUACUUGCAGUGGAGACCAAGCUUUCAACACAGAAGACCUUGGGAGAUAUUCAAAAUCCAAAGUUAAAUGAAAAAGAACAAAGGACAAAGCUGGACAGAGACUGACAGUCUCAAGGCUGACAGGUCUUAGGGCUUGCCCUUCUUGCUAAACUCAUGAAGGUCACUGUGCCUGAAAGAUGAACUGCUGAAACAACACCUGCUUGUACCUCCCUAUCUCUCUAUGUUUCAAAGAUAAACUGUAAAAAAAAGGGGUUUUUUUGGUACGGGGGAUUGAACUUAGGUCCUUGUGCUUGUGAAGCAGGCAGUGGAACCACUGAGCUAAAUCCCCGGCCCUAAAAAAAGUUUUAAAAAGCAACAUUAGGGCCAGAGAUUUAGCUUAGUGGUUCUGCUGCCUGCCCUGCAAGUGCAAGGACCGGAGUUCGAUCCCCGGUACCCCCCCCCAAAAAAAACAAAACAACAUUACCUCCCUACCCUUUGCUGAGUUCUGCUUCUGUAAAAUGCUGCUUGCUCCCCUGCCCUGGCUAAAGAACAGAUAAAUAUGAGAACAAACUUAGAAAUGGGGCUCAGACUCUGGAAGGUGACUUCUGCUGGACCUGCUAAUAAUAAACCUGCCCAUCCCUUCAAUCCCCCCCCCCAGUGCCAGGGAUUGAACUCAGGACCUUGCACUUGCCAGGCAGGCAUGGUGGCGUUGAACUAAAUCCCUGGCCCUUCCCUUUAAUUCUCUGAGUGCUGCUCUCUUCCUUGGCCUGCCCGCCCUCCGAGUGCCAUUUCAAAACUAUAAUUACAGGUGCAUACCUGUAAUCCCAGCACUCUAGGAGACUGAGGAAGGAGGAUCACAAGUUCAAGCCUAGCCUUGGCAACUUAGUCACUAUCUCAAAAAAUAAAAAGGACUGGGGAUGCAGCUCAGUGUAGGGACCCUGGGUCCAAUCCCCAGUACCCGACACACACACACACACACACACACACACACACACACACACACACACACACAGAAAGAGAGAAAAAGAAAAACUUUGGCAAUACACAAAAUGCUAUAACACCAGAAUGAAUGUGUGAAUGAGAAAUCAAGUGGUACACACCAUGGAAGAACUCACUUUCACACUGUCCACACGUGUGUGUGGAGGGGCUGAGUGCUGGAGGUGGAAGCCCUUGAGUUGCACCCCAGGCCCUAACACUGUACUCUUUGUAUAUUCAUUACUAUUCCCCCACUGGAACUCGAGUUUACCUAAUUCCUAUUUAGUAUAAAAUCUUCUGUGUUGUUGGCAAUCCUGAAAAUUUCCACUGCACUCUGAAUCUUGAAUUAGAGAUUUUUUUUUGAGACAGGGUUUUGCUAUUCCAAGCUGGCCUUGAAUUCACUAUGUAGCCCAGACUGGUCUUGAAAUACACAGACCCUCCUGCCUCAACCUCCUGAGUGCUGGGAUGACAAGUGUGUGCCACCAAACCUGGCUCCUGAAUCUUGAAAGCCUUCUUUCUGUAACCUGAAUCUCAAAGUGCUGGAGGCACAGUCCUCCACGCCACCCUCCACACCCUCAUUUCUAAGGCACCACCAUCCUGGGUCUGAAGGCCUCCUUUAGGGCCUGAAGGUGUCCCUGUCCGACUUGAAGAGGGAGGACAACUCCAGAUGGGAGGAGAGCUCCAUGUCCUCACAGAAGGCCCAAGAUGCACAGGUGCCAGGAGCCAGCUGGCCUCCGGCCAGGGCCAGGACCCAUCAGUGAGGGCUCUGCCAGUGUCCUCAGUGUUUUCUCUGUUGCUAGGAAACCUUAUUUCACUGCAGCUCAUUGAUUAGCACCCCCUCUCGUGUCCAUGCCCAGUAAUAGC
ensembl:lncRNA